rnacentral:tRNA from 1 species
GACAGGGUAGCUCAGUCAGGUGUAGAGCAACGCAAAAUUGGCGAAGGUCGGUGGUUCAAAUCCAUCCCCUGUCG